GAGUGCGGAUCAAGCGGUUA
rnacentral:siRNA from 1 species